GAUGCAUUUAGUAAGUUAAAAAAGUAUAGUUAGACAAGCAAGCAAAAUGUUCAUUCGAGCUGUUUGGAUAGAAAAUACAGAGAAAUAAAGUGAGAAAAAUCGAUCGAUAAUUUUUAUGUGCUGGCUAUCAUCAUUAAAUGUAAUAAAUUGUUUCAAUGAAAUGCAUAAACCGCAUCUAACUAAUACAGAUUUACGCUGCUCAAAAUUAAAUGUCAUGGAGAUUAUGAGCCACUACCAUGCUUAUGCAAGAAAAAACAUAA